CAGUGGCGCAACUGGGGCCUCAGGGGUUCGAUUCCCGUCCAC
rnacentral:tRNA from 1 species